rnacentral:rRNA from 1 species
UACCAGCUCUCCGAGUGGUAGGGAUGAUUAUUGGGCUUAAAACGUCCGUAGCCGGUUUAGUAAAUGCCUGGGUAAAUCGUGUAGCUUAACUAUACGACUUCCGGGUAGACUGCUAAACUUGAGACCGGGAGAGGCUAGAGGUACUCCUGGGGUAGAGGUGAAAUUCUGUAAUCCUAGGGGGACCACCAGUGGCGAAGGCGUCUAGCUAGAGCGGGUCUGACGGUGAGGGACGAAGCCCUGGGGCACAAACCGGAUUAGAUACCCGGGUAGUCCAGGGUGUAAACGCUGCUUGCUUGAUGUUAGUUGGGCUCCGAGCCCAACUAGUGUCGGAGAGAAGUUGUUAAGCAAGCUGCCUGGGAAGUACGGUCGCAAGGCUGAAACUUAAAGGAAUUGGCGGGGGAGCACAGCAACGGGUGGAGCGUGCGGUUU